rnacentral:lncRNA from 13 species
GUUUCUUAUUGUUGUAGCAGAGUGAGAAUGUCUACACUGAAGCUCAGGGCAUCAGUGCUGCUCCUUGUGAUUAAGACCUCUACCUGCCUCUAGUUCAACAAACAAAGAUGGAUCCUUAAAUUCUUCAGUGUGCAGCACCCUAUAAGCGCCCCCUUUGGCAGAAUCUAGCAUGGCACCAGCAUGCUAGAUUCAGCAGGCCAAGCUGAAACGCAGUUUGCAGAGAGCCAGCCCCAGCAUCACAGGUGAGUUUGG